UUUGGUUAAGUUAGAAAGGGCGCACGGUGGAUGCCUUGACACUAGGAGUCGAUGAAGGACGGGACUAACGCCGAUAUGCUUCGGGGAGCUGUAAGUAAGCUUUGAUCCGAAGAUUUCCGAAUGGGGAAACCCACCAUACGUAAUGGUAUGGUAUCCUUACCUGAAUACAUAGGGUAAGGAAGACAGACCCAGGGAACUGAAACAUCUAAGUACCUGGAGGAAGAGAAAGCAAAUGCGAUUUCCUGAGUAGCGGCGAGCGAAACGGAACAUAGCCCAAACCAAGAGGCUUGCCUCUUGGGGUUGUAGGACAUUCUAUACGGAGUUACAAAGGAACGAGGUAGACGAAGCGACCUGGAAAGGUCCGUCGUAGAGGGUAACAACCCCGUAGUCGAAACUUCGUUCUCUCUUGAAUGUAUCCUGAGUACGGCGGAACACGUGAAAUUCCGUCGGAAUCUGGGAGGACCAUCUCCCAAGGCUAAAUACUCCCUAGUGAUCGAUAGUGAACCAGUACCGUGAGGGAAAGGUGAAAAGCACCCCGGAAGGGGAGUGAAAGAGAUCCUGAAACCGUGUGCCUACAAAUAGUCAGAGCCCGUUAACGGGUGAUGGCGUGCCUUUUGUAGAAUGAACCGGCGAGUUACGAUCCCGUGCGAGGUUAAGCUGAAGAGGCGGAGCCGCAGCGAAAGCGAGUCUGAAUAGGGCGUUUAGUACGUGGUCGUAGACCCGAAACCAGGUGAUCUACCCAUGUCCAGGGUGAAGUUCAGGUAACACUGAAUGGAGGCCCGAACCCACGCACGUUGAAAAGUGCGGGGAUGAGGUGUGGGUAGCGGAGAAAUUCCAAUCGAACCUGGAGAUAGCUGGUUCUCCCCGAAAUAGCUUUAGGGCUAGCCUUAAGUGUAAGAGUCUUGGAGGUAGAGCACUGAUUGGACUAGGGGUCCUCAUCGGAUUACCGAAUUCAGUCAAACUCCGAAUGCCAAUGACUUAUCCUUAGGAGUCAGACUGCGAGUGAUAAGAUCCGUAGUCAAAAGGGAAACAGCCCAGACCGCCAGCUAAGGUCCCAAAGUGUGUAUUAAGUGGAAAAGGAUGUGGAGUUGCUUAGACAACUAGGAUGUUGGCUUAGAAGCAGCCACCAUUUAAAGAGUGCGUAAUAGCUCACUAGUCGAGUGACUCUGCGCCGAAAAUGUACCGGGGCUAAAUACACCACCGAAGCUGCGGAUUGAUACCGAAUGGUAUCAGUGGUAGGGGAGCGUUCUAAGGACAGUGAAGUCAGACUGGAAGGACUGGUGGAGUGCUUAGAAGUGAGAAUGCCGGUAUGAGUAGCGAAAGACGGGUGAGAAUCCCGUCCACCGAAUGCCUAAGGUUUCCUGAGGAAGGCUCGUCCGCUCAGGGUUAGUCAGGACCUAAGCCGAGGCCGACAGGCGUAGGCGAUGGACAACAGGUUGAUAUUCCUGUACCACCUCUUUAUCGUUUGAGCAAUGGAGGGACGCAGAAGGAUAGAAGAAGCGUGCGAUUGGUUGUGCACGUCCAAGCAGUUAGGCUGAUAAGUAGGCAAAUCCGCUUAUCGUGAAGGCUGAGCUGUGAUGGGGAAGCUCCUUAUGGAGCGAAGUCUUUGAUUCCCCGCUGCCAAGAAAAGCUUCUAGCGAGAUAAAAGGUGCCUGUACCGCAAACCGACACAGGUAGGCGAGGAGAGAAUCCUAAGGUGUGCGAGAGAACUCUGGUUAAGGAACUCGGCAAAAUGACCCCGUAACUUCGGGAGAAGGGGUGCUUUCUUAACGGAAAGCCGCAGUGAAUAGGCCCAAGCGACUGUUUAGCAAAAACACAGCUCUCUGCGAAGCCGUAAGGCGAAGUAUAGGGGGUGACACCUGCCCGGUGCUGGAAGGUUAAGGAGAGGGGUUAGCGUAAGCGAAGCUCUGAACUGAAGCCCCAGUAAACGGCGGCCGUAACUAUAACGGUCCUAAGGUAGCGAAAUUCCUUGUCGGGUAAGUUCCGACCCGCACGAAAGGUGUAACGAUUUGGGCACUGUCUCAACCAGAGACUCGGUGAAAUUAUAGUACCUGUGAAGAUGCAGGUUACCCGCGACAGGACGGAAAGACCCCGUGGAGCUUUACUGUAGCCUGAUAUUGAAUUUUGGUACAGUUUGUACAGGAUAGGCGGGAGCCAUUGAAACCGGAGCGCUAGCUUCGGUGGAGGCGCUGGUGGGAUACCGCCCUGACUGUAUUGAAAUUCUAACCUACGGGUCUUAUCGACCCGGGAGACAGUGUCAGGUGGGCAGUUUGACUGGGGCGGUCGCCUCCUAAAGUGUAACGGAGGCGCCCAAAGGUUCCCUCAGAAUGGUUGGAAAUCAUUCGUAGAGUGCAAAGGCAUAAGGGAGCUUGACUGCGAGACCUACAAGUCGAGCAGGGACGAAAGUCGGGCUUAGUGAUCCGGUGGUUCCGCAUGGAAGGGCCAUCGCUCAACGGAUAAAAGCUACCCCGGGGAUAACAGGCUUAUCUCCCCCAAGAGUCCACAUCGACGGGGAGGUUUGGCACCUCGAUGUCGGCUCAUCGCAUCCUGGGGCUGUAGUCGGUCCCAAGGGUUGGGCUGUUCGCCCAUUAAAGCGGUACGCGAGCUGGGUUCAGAACGUCGUGAGACAGUUCGGUCCCUAUCCGUCGUGGGCGUAGGAAAUUUGAGAGGAGCUGUCCUUAGUACGAGAGGACCGGGAUGGACGCACCGCUGGUGUACCAGUUGUUCUGCCAAGGGCAUAGCUGGGUAGCUAUGUGCGGAAGGGAUAAGUGCUGAAAGCAUCUAAGCAUGAAGCCCCCCUCAAGAUGAGAUUUCCCAUAGCGUAAGCUAGUAAGAUCCCUGAAAGAUGAUCAGGUUGAUAGGUUCGAGGUGGAAGCAUGGUGACAUGUGGAGCUGACGAAUACUAAUAGAUCGAGGACUUAACCAUAUAA
rnacentral:rRNA from 1 species